rnacentral:rRNA from 1 species
GGCUUAAUUUGACUCAACGCGGGAAAUCUUACCGGGUCCGGACACACUGAGGAUUGACAGAUAUAUACCCCGUGAUUUUAUCGCGGGGUUGAAAGAUGCUAGUUCUUUCAUGAUUAUGUGAUAGGUGGUGCAUGGCCGUUCUUAGUUCGUGGAGUGAUCUGUCUGCUUAAUUGCGUAUCAAUAAUAGAGACCUAGUAUACGCGUAGACUCAUGCGGUAGUGACCCCCCUUCACAGGGCGCGUGUCGCACGUAUGUUAUACGCACAGGUCUCCGAUAGCAACGAACGUGACCGUACUCUAUUGUUGCAGCGACAAUACCUUUCAACGGGUAUUACCGCUGCUUAGCAAGAUUCGUCUUGCAUUAAACUAUAGAGACC